UACGGAGGGUGCAAACGUUGCUCGGAAUCAUUGGGCGUAAAGCGAACGUAGGCGGCUAUGUAAGUCGGGUGUGAAAGCCCAGAGCUCAACUCUGGAAGUUCAUUCGAAACUGCAUGGCUUGAGUAGCGGAGAGGAUAGCGGAAUUCCCGGUGUAGAGGUGAAAUUCGUAGAUAUCGGGAGGAACACCAGUGGCGAAGGCGGCUAUCUGGACGCAUACUGACGCUGAAGUUCGAAAGCGUGGGGAGCAAACAGG
rnacentral:rRNA from 1 species